rnacentral:rRNA from 1 species
UUCCCGCUGGAAAUUAAGCAUAUCAAUAAGCGGAGGAAAAGAAACCAACAGGGAUUGCCUUAGUAACGGCGAGUGAAGCGGCAACAGCUCAAAUUUGAAAGCUGGCUCCUUCGGAGUCCGCGUUGUAAUUUGUAGAGGAUGAUUCGGCGAGGGCUCCCGCCUAAGUCCCCUGGAACGGGGCGUCAUAGAGGGUGAGAAUCCCGUAUGCGGUGGGUUGCCUUAGCCAUGUGAAUCUCCUUCGACGAGUCGAGUUGUUUGGGAAUGCAGCUCUAAAUGGGAGGUAAAUUUCUUCUAAAGCUAAAUACCGGCCAGAGACCGAUAGCGCACAAGUAGAGUGAUCGAAAGAUGAAAAGCACUUUGGAAAGAGAGUUAAAAAGUACGUGAAAUUGUUGAAAGGGAAGCGCUUGCAGCCAGACUUGUCCGCAGUUGCUCAACCGGUCUCCUGACCGGUGUACUCUUCUGCGGCCAGGCCAGCAUCAGUUCGGGCGGUCGGAUAAAGGCCCUGGGAAUGUAGCUCCUCUCGGGGAGUGUUAUAGCCCAGGGUGGAAUGCGGCCAGCCUGGACUGAGGAUCUCGCUUCGGCUAGGAUGCUGGCGUAAUGGCUGUAAGCGGCCCGUCUUGAAACACGGACCAAGGAGUCUAACAUCUAUGCGAGUGUUUGGGUGUCAAACCCAUGCGCGUAAUGAAAGUGAACGGAGGUGGGAACCCUCACGGGUGCACCAUCGACCGAUCCUGAUGUCUUCGGAUGGAUUUGAGUAAGAGCAUAGCUGUUGGGACCCGAAAGAUGGUGAACUAUGCCUGAAUAGGGUGAAGCCAGAGGAAACUCUGGUGGAGGCUCGCAGCGGUUCUGACGUGCAAAUCGAUCGUCAAAUUUGGGUAUAGGGGCGAAAGACUAAUCGAACCAUCUAGUAGCUGGUUCCUGCCGA